GCCGGGGUGGCGAAAUUGGUUAGACGCACAGGGCUUAAAACCCUGCGAGGGCUUAAAAUCCUCAUGUGGGUUCGAUUCCCACCCCCGGCA
rnacentral:tRNA from 5 species